GCUAGCAGCAACAUCUCGCUCACAUGCAACGCUUUGCACACCCCCAGAAUCAUUCAUCUAGCGCCUAGUACCUGAUGGACUCUCAUGCAGCCGAAGACGACUGAAAGUGCCAGAUCCUCUUGUGCCUCAUUUUCAAGUGCUGAAAUUAGAGCUAUGUACCACCAUGCCCAUCUCUACCUGGGUGCUUCAUAUCCAAGGCUAAAAUUUAACUGUCUGCAAUAUUUGUGAUCCAAAACAGUACCUAGUCACCGAUGAAUUAGCCUACCAGAGACUAUCACGGCUUGUGAGGAUUUUCUAAUGUCAAAAUGCCAACAUUGAGUGUCCCAAGCUUGGAUGAUAAAUCCUUGUCUAUUAUCAACUUCUUCUGCAAACCUUAAUCUACAUUACAGCUAAAAUUACAAAGAGUAAUACUGGGUGAUAAAAGGAAAAGAAGGACUUUGCUUUCUUGAUUUUUGGCUUUUUAAUGGAGGUGUUUAGUCUUGGCUUAUGACCAUCGAGGAUAUUUGACCUAUGACCUUGAAUAGAAUUAAGACAAUUUUCCAGCAGACUCUAAGGGCAACAUGGAAAAUUCUGUUAACCUUUUCCUAAAAGCUGAAUUUUGUAGUAGUAUGAGCUCAAACAUGAGGAAUAUUUGAGUUUCUUAAUUUUUUAAUGUUUUUAAUCCUGACCUUUUUAGAUAAUAUUACCAUGGAAAGCUGCCUGCUCCAUGUCCCCAAGGAUUAUACAGAGAAUGGGCUCAAUCCAGCCCCCAAAGUCCACUCACUGUUGACUGGGAGUGUCAUUAGUUUUCUAGAUUGCUUAACAAACUGCCUUUGGUUGGGUGUUCUGACAAUGGAAAAGAACAGCCUCACUGUCCUAAAAGAUGGAAGGCCUAACACUGUUGGCAGGCCUAGUUAUUCCUAAAGAUGAGGAAGGAUGAAUCUGUUCUAGGCAUUUCUCUUUGGCUUAUGAAUAACCAUAUUCGUACUCCUGUGAUUACCUGCUGUAUGCUUGCUCAUCUCCAAAUUCCCCCAUUAGCUAUAGUACCAGUUAUAUUGGAAUAAAGCUCACCCAAAGGG